rnacentral:rRNA from 1 species
CCUACGGGAGGCAGCAGUGGGGAAUAUUGGACAAUGGGGGGAACCCUGAUCCAGCCAUGCCGCGUGUGUGAAGAAGGCCCUCGGGUUGUAAAGCACUUUCAGUGAGGAAGAACGCCUGGUGGUUAAUACCCAUCAGGAAAGACAUCACUCACAGAAGAAGCACCGGCUAACUCCGUGCCAGCAGCCGCGGUAAUACGGAGGGUGCGAGCGUUAAUCGGAAUUACUGGGCGUAAAGCGCGCGUAGGUGGCUUGAUAAGCCGGUUGUGAAAGCCCCGGGCUCAACCUGGGAACGGCAUCCGGAACUGUCGAGCUAGAGUGCAGGAGAGGAAGGUAGAAUUCCCAGUGUAGCGGUGAAAUGCGUAGAGAUCGGGAGGAAUACCAGUGGCGAAGGCGGCCUUCUGGACUGACACUGACACUGAGGUGCGAAAGCGUGGGUAGCAAACAGGAUUAGAUACCCCAGUAGUC